rnacentral:autocatalytically_spliced_intron from 1 species
GUAAGCCGUGUGAGGGAAAACUUCAUGCACGGUUUGAUGCAGGGGGUACUGCUAUCCGAAAUUUAUUAACUUAGCAAU